rnacentral:rRNA from 2 species
GCGCUUAACACAUGCAAGUCGCACGAGAAAGUGGAGCAAUCCAUGAGUACAGUGGCGUACGGGUGAGUAACACGUGGAUCAUCUACCUCUUAGUGGGGAAUAACCCUGGGAAACCGGGGCUAAUACCGCAUAAGCUCGAGAGAGGAAAGCAGCAAUGCGCUGAGAGAGGAGUCCGCGGCCGAUUAGCUAGUUGGCAGGGUAAACGCCUACCAAGGCAAAGAUCGGUAGCCGGCCUGAGAGGGCACACGGCCACACUGGCACUGAAACACGGGCCAG